AUUGAACGCUGGCGGCAGGCCUAACACAUGCAAGUCGAACGAGUGGCGGACGGGUGAGUAAUGUCUGGGAAACUGCCUGAUGGAGGGGGAUAACUACUGGAAACUGUAGCUAAUACCGCAUACCAUCGGAUGAGCCCAGAUGGGAUUAGGUAGUUGGUGGGGUAAAGGCUCACCUAGCCGACGAUCCCUAGCUGGUCUGAGAGGAUGACAAGCCACACGGGAACUGAGACACGGUCCAGACUCCUACGGGAGGCAGCAGUGGGGAAUAUUGCGCAAUGGGGGCAAGCCUGACACAGCCAUGCCGCGUGAAUGAAGAAGGCCUUCGGGUUGUAAAGUACUUUCGGCAGGGAGGCGUUAACCGCAGAAGAAGCACCGGCUAACUCCGUGCCAGCAGCCGCGGUAAUAC
rnacentral:rRNA from 1 species